GUGCUUGCUUCAACAGCACAUAUACUAAAAUUGGAACGGUACAGACAAGAUUAGCAUGGCCCCUGUGCAAGGAUACCAUGCAAAUUCAUGAAGCAUUCUAUAUUUUU
rnacentral:snRNA from 1 species